rfam:Capsicum annuum cultivar Zunla-1 chromosome 6, whole genome shotgun sequence
UACCUGAUUGAUCCUGCCAGUAUUCAUAUGGUUGUCCUAAAGAUUAAUCUAUGUAUGUGUAUGUAUGAACAAUUCAGACUGUGAAACUAUGAAUGGCUCAUUAAAUUAGUUAUAGUUUAUUUGAUGGUAUCUACUACUCGGAUAACCGUAGUAAUUCUAGAGCUAAUACGUGUAAAAAACUGACUUCUGAAAGGGAUGCAUUUAUUAGAUAAAAACUAAAGGCGGGCUGUACUUGUUACUGUAAUGAAUCAUGAUAACUCGACGGAUCGCACGACCAUCUUGCCGGCGAUGCAUCAUUCAAAUUACUUCCCUAUCAACUUUCGAUGGUAGGAUAAUGGCCUACCAUGGUGGUGAAAGGUGAUGGAGAAUUAGGGUUUAAUUUUGGAGAGGGAGCCUGAGAAAUGGCUACCACAUCUAAGGAAGGCUGCAGGCGUGCAAAUUACCCAAUAAAUAACAAUACCGGGCUCAAUGAGUUUGGUUAUUGGAAUAUGUACAAUAUAAAUCCCUUAAUGAAGAUCUAUUAGAGGGAAAGUAUGGUGCCAUAAUCCACGGUAAUUCCAGCUCCAAUAGAGUAUAUUUAAGUUAUUACAGUUAAAAAGCUCGUAGUUGUACUUUGGGAUGGGCCAGCCGGUCCGCCUAUGGUGUGCACUAGUAGUCUCGUCCCUUCUGUUGGUGAUGCACUCCUGGCCGUAACUGGCUGUGUCGUGCCUCCAGCAUUGUUAAUUUGGAUAAAUUAAAGUGCUCAAAGUAAGCCUACAUUCUAUAUAAAUUAGGAUGAGAUAAUAUUAUAGGAUUUCAUUCCUACUAUAAUGGCCUUCGGGAUCAUAGUAAUGAUUAACAGGGACAGUCGGGGGCACUUGUAUUUCAUAGUCAGAGGUAAAAUUCUUGGAUUUAUGAAAAAUGAACAACUGCGAAAACAUUUGCCAAGGAUGUUUUCAUUAAUAAAGAACAAAAGUGAGGGGCACGAAUAUGAUCAAAUACCAUCCUAGUCUCAACCAUAAAUGAUGCCGACCAGGGAUCAGUGAAUGUUGCUUUUAGGACUCUACUGCACCUUAUGAGAAAUCAAAGUUUAGGGGUUUCAGAAGGGAGGGGUAUGGUUGAAAGGCUGAAACUUAAAGGAAUUGAUGGAAAGGAACCACCAGGAGUGGAGCCUACGGCUUAAUUUGACUCAAUGGGUGGUGGCGCAUGGCCGUUAUUAGUUAGUGGAGCAAUUUUUCUGGUUAAUUCCAUUAAUGAAAGAGACCUCAGCCUCAUAACUAGCUAUGUGGAGGUAUUCCUUCCCUUCCAUCUUCUUAUAGGGACUACGACCUCUUAGGCCGUGGAAGUUUAAGGCAAUAAUAGGUCUGUGAUGCGCUUAGAUAUUCUAUGCCGCCCGCGUGCUACACUGAUAUAUUCAGUGAGUUUAUAGCCUUGGAUAAUUAGCCUGGGUAAUCUUUUAAACUUUAUUGUGAUGGGUAUAGAUCAUUGUAAUUGUUGUUCUUCAAUGAUGAAUUACUAGUAAGCGCGAGUCAUCAUCUCGCAUUGACUAAGUCCCUGCCCUUUGUAUACACCGCCCUUCACUCCUACCGAUUGAAUGAUCAAGAUAAAUAUUUGGAUUGUGGCGUCGUGGGUGGUUUGCUGCCCACAAUUUCAUGAGAAUUCCAUUGAACCUUAUCAUUUAGAUGAAGGAGAUUUCAUACAAGGUUUCCGUAGGUGAACCUGUAGAAGGAUCAUUG